rnacentral:rRNA from 1 species
GUAAGGGCGACUGAACGGGGAGGAGCCCAGCGCGGAACCUCGCGCGCCUCACCGGCUGCGUCUGAGGAAUGUCGCGUUCCGGAGGGGCCUUCUCCGACCACACCGACCCCCCCCAAGUCCGCUUGAACGCGGCCACUGCCCAUGGAGGGUGCGAGGCCCGUACGGGGAUUAGGAGUCGGGCGGUCGGACGGCCCCGUCCGUAGAGUCGGGUUGCCUACUAACGCAGCCCAAAGCAGGUGGUAAAC